rnacentral:ncRNA from 1 species
UGACCGGGACGGCCCGGUCGCUUUACAGGGCCUUCACCGGGACGACCCGU